AUCUCCUGGAAAUUUUGUUAAAAUGCAGAUUUUGAUUCAGCAGGUGUGGGAAUGAGACCUGAGAAUCUGCAUUUCUAACAAGUUCUCAGGUGAUGCCAG
rnacentral:pre_miRNA from 1 species